rnacentral:rRNA from 1 species
GACGAACGCUGGCGGCGUGCUUAACACAUGCCAGUCGAACGGAAAGGCCCUGCUUUUGUGGUGUUCUCGAGUGGCGAACGUGUGUGUAACACGUGAGUAACCUGCCCUUCACUUUGGUAUAACUUCAGGAAUCUGUGUCUAAUUCCGGAUAGGAGCUCCUUCUGCAUGGUGGGGGUUGGAUAGUUUCGGCUGUGGGGGAUGGACUCGCGGUUUCUCAGUUUGUUGGUGGGGUUGUGGUUUACCAAGGCCUUGACGAGUAGCCGGCCUGGGAGGGUGAGCGGCAACAGGGGGACGGAGAGACGGCCCAGACUACUGCGGGAAGCAGCAGUGAGGAUUAUUGCACGAGGGGCGGAAGCAUGAUGCAGCAACGCGGCGGGCGGGAUGACGGCCUUCGGGUUGUAAACCGCUUGCGCCUGUGACGAAGCGUGAGUGACGGUAAUGGGUAAAGAAGCACCGGCUAACUACGUG